GAAGAAAAAGCAUCGGCUAACUCCGUGCCAGCAGCCGCGGUAAUACGGAGGAUGCAAGCGUUAUCCGGAUUUAUUGGGUUUAAAGGGUGCGUAGGCGGCACGCCAAGUCAGCGGUGAAAUUUCCGGGCUCAACCCGGAAUGUGCCGUUGAAACUGGCGAGCUAGAGUGCACAAGAGGCAGGCGGAAUGCGUGGUGUAGCGGUGAAAUGCAUAGAUAUCACGCAGAACCCCGAUUGCGAAGGCAGCAUACCGGCGCCCAACUGACGCUGAAGCACGAAAGCGUGGGUAUCGAACAGGAUUAGAUACCCUGGUAGUCCACGCAGUAAACGAUGAAUACUAGCUGUCCGGGGCGAAUGAGCCCUGGGUGGCACAGCGAAAGCGUUAAGUAUUCCACCUGGGGAGUACGCCGGCAACGGUGAAACUCAAAGGAAUUGACGGGGGCCCGCACAAGCGGAGGAACAUGUGGUUUAAUUCGAUGAUACGCGAGGAACCUUACCCGGGCUCAAACGCAGGGGGAAUGCCGGUGAAAGUCGGCAGCUAGUAAUAGUCACCUGCGAGGUGCUGCAUGGUUGUCGUCAGCUCGUGCCGUGAGGUGUCGGCUUAAGUGCCAUAACGAGCGCAACCCCCAUCGACAGUUGCUAACAGGUCAGGCUGAGGACUCUGUCGAGACUGCCGGCGCAAGCUGCGAGGAAGGCGGGGAUGACGUCAAAUCAGCACGGCCCUUACGUCCGGGGCGACACACGUGUUACAAUGGCAGGUACAGCGGGAAGCCACCUGGCGACAGGGAGCGGAACCCGAAAGCCUGUCUCAGUUCGGAUUGGAGUCUGCAACCCGACUCCAUGAAGCUGGAUUCGCUAGUAAUCGCGCAUCAGCCAUGGCGCGGUGAAUACGUUCC
rnacentral:rRNA from 1 species